rnacentral:lncRNA from 1 species
GUCGGGUCAGGCCUUGGGCCAAGCUGUUGUUCCCCACCAGAACCAAAUGAGCGCAAAAUCUGACAAAGAAAAAAAAAGGAGACAAGGAAAACCAACGGGAACAGCCCAGUAAAGGCACCAUUCCCCAUUUUACAGCUUGGGAAUCUGAGUUACAGAGCUUGUCUGCACUGAGUCAACAGGAGCAAAUGCUAGAUCAGGUAAUUGAACCCAAGCAAUCCGGUUCCAGAGCCAAAUAGAUGUAUUUUUUAUGGUAUAA